rnacentral:lncRNA from 1 species
ACUUCCGGUCAGCGCAGCCCAGGCCGCAGGAGGGUACGGCCCUGGACCCCCUCUCUCCAGUGGGGGCUGGAGAUGGGAGCGCAACUGGGGCUCCGCCGAGGUCUCUGAGGGCACUUCACCCCCGCCCCCGACCCCAGGAACUGCGAAACCCCAAAUCUUCUUGCCCACCGCGGGGCGCAGGUCCUGCCCACCCGCUCUCCAGGGACGCGCGCAGAAAGGCAGUCCCGGCCGCCUCCCCGCGCCAGGGUCCGGGCAAGCGUCUGAAAGCUGUGCUUGGGCCGCAGCUCCAGCCAUCGCCCCUCACCCCCGGUUCUCCCGGGCCACGUUCAUUGCACAGUUUCGAUUUGUUUAGGCCGGGGUCUCCUCUUCUUUCCUCAACAUCUUUUUCUGUGGGCUCCCCGCCUCCGUAUUCCUCCUCAUCCUCUGCUCCAAGGUUUCCGUUUUUUGCACCGGAGGCCGCCCUUCUGCGACCAGCCUUCUCCGGCCGCUCGGACUCGGCCUCUGCAGCGGGGUGCACCCGGGCGUCCCUUCGGCUCCCGGCCCUCCCUCUCUCCUCGUCGCCCAGCCCUGCCUCCAACUUUGCGCCCCCGGCUGCCCCGCGCCGCGGCUCAACUGGACAUCCGAACGCUCCGACUGUCCGCUCCCCUCCCCUCCCCCGGCCGACACGUGGGGACCAGCGCUGACCUUGGGUGAGGCCACGCUGUCCCCCGCUGCUCUCCAGUCACCCCUGUAUCCCUUUGACUCUUGGGCUUCCGAGUAGGGGCUCCCGGAGUAUUACCAGGGAAAAGGGGAGCGCCCUUCCCCUGGUAAUGAGAGUAGCCACGCAAUGUCGGCUGCGCAAACUGGGCCUCAGAGCGGCCAGGCCAGGGUCAAACCAGGAAGAGGGGGAGGGGUGGACAGCAAGGCUGAAGAGACCUGACUUUAUUUGUGUUGCUUCAACUGGUCCUGAAUGGUUACACGAGGCGCGCGCUCUUGCACACACACCGCGGGCAGCCCAAACCCUCGCUGGCUCGGCCCGCCGGCUCCUCGCCCUGCCAGUCCUGAGCCGGCUCUGAGCCACUGGAGUCAGAGGGCCCGGGCGCCUGCCUUCUCGGUGCGGGCUGGGGAGGACCUGCUCGCGAAGGGCUGCCAACUGAACUUUUCCUGCACCAGGGCUGACCGCAUUGUGGUGCAAAGUGACAAGUCGAGUGUUGACUUGGGGACUGCGAUAAAUCUUAAGGAAGAGUGGAAAUGCAUGGGCUUUGGAGCUGGACAUUUGGGGUUUAAAUGCUGACUCUGCUGUGGGACCGUGGCACCUAGCACAGAGCUAGCCACACUGAAGGAGCCACAUGGAGAUGUGGCCACCCCUGAGUGGAUGACGCCUUUGCCAGCCUUUGGGAAUGUGUCUUUUCUUCCUGAACCUCAUUUCCUGAGAGUGACCAGAUGAGGAAGCCGAUGUCUAGAGAGAGCGAGGAAAUUGCCCAAGGUCCAGUGGGGGACAGAGAGAGGCUUCAACUUUAUGGAGUAGCUGGACACUGCAUCUAUCACACCAGAUAUUGGGAGAUGCAGGGCAGAUGCUUCAUGCUUUCAGAGGUUUCCAAAGAUGGCCAGGCUGCUGCAGCCAUGAAGAUAUCCAGGGUGACUGGACAAAGGAGGUUAUGUUGUUCUUCACAAGUUUGUAAUCUAUCCAGUCAAUAUUAAGGAGCCCUACUACGUGAACUGUCAACGGAGUAGAAGUCAAGCAAAGGUGACUUGCUGCCUGCCACAUCUGCCUCCCGCUGUGAAAUCACAACAAGGCAACCACGAAUAGCUGGUAAAAGUCCCAGUCUUCAACGCAGUGGUGUAAUUUCCUAUGAUAAAUAGCUUGGAAGAAUGCUAAUCAAAAUUACUUUCUGGUUCUACCUUAUUCAGCAAGACAAAUGCAUGACAAGGCCCCAGAGGCAGGGAUUUGCUUUAAUUUGAGGAUGUCUUUGCUCAAAUCUGUCUGACCAUGUUGGCAGCCACCCCCCACCCAACUCUGUGCACCUGGGUGGGGCAUGGGCCCAUCUGUCUUGGCACCAUGGCCUUUUCACCUGCAGACCUGCCUCUGUAGCCUGAGCACCAUUUACCUCAUCCAUUGCCAGAAGUUACUCUCUCACAUGCUUCAAAUUUACUUUCCAGAAAGCAAAAGGGCUUCCAAUGAUUUGAAGAGAGUGAUGCUGACAGUGUGCAUUAUUACCAUUCUCAUCUCUAGGAACUCCCACUUUUUUCAGCAGGCUGAUGGGCAUAUGUGGUCUACAUGGCCAAACGGGCAAGAAGAUGUAAGGAAAUCUUUUUUUUUUAACUUAGAUAAUUUGUUUUUUAAACUUGGAUACUUGGAUCACAAGAGAAAAUUUCGAGAGACUUUGACUUGAGGCACCAUUUCCACAUGGGUUGAAGGAUUUCAGGAAGAGUCCCAAGUAGGGCAACCAGAUCUGCUAAGAGGAUGUCACUGCAGUUUCUGGACUCAGCUAAUGACAUCAGGGAAAAGGGAAGGUCAUUUUCCUUUGUAUGAAAUGGCAAACAUGUGAGCAGGGAUUUGUAAACUCAGACUACACCACAGGCAGGCUUCAGUGUUUGACGCCUUCUGUUUUUAUUGCUUUGUGAGACUGACCAAUUAAAACAACCCAAAGGCCACGUUUAUGAAUAUCUCUCUGAUGGGACCAACUUCCCUUGCUGUGAGCCUCGCACAGUGGCUAUGUAUGGACAUCAUCUGAGUAGGAAAUAUUGCCCUGGAGUGAGAGGGAUUCCACAGAGUGGGUUUCUCUCCCCCUCCUAGGUCUUAACCUUUCAUAGCAAGACAGACAACCAGGAAAGUAGGAAAUCGAAACAAGCUAUGUUUAGCUGAAUUUUACAUACCAUAAUCUCUUUACCAUGGUCAAGCAAGGCAGGAAUGCUCAGGCCAAUCGGUUCUGGCUCAAAUCCAUUCCAGAGGGGAGUGAUUUACAACUUAGCACCAUCUUCGUCUCUUCCCUGAGAGUGAAGUUAAAUGACCCAAGAAUAACAUUAGUCUGCACCAGACCUCGCGAGAAUGAUCUUCCUAAGGGUGGUCCUGGGCAUGGGUUUUCACCUGCAGAAACUCAAGCCCAGACAUCCCUCCAAAGCCCUGGUAAGGGUCAAGUAGCAUUCCUAUGUUAAGAACCGACAGUGUGGUGAGUUACGAGGUCUUAGGGAAGAGUGGAGUCUGGCCCAGAGGCCUUUUGUUGCUUCCUCACCAGUGAAUCUUAAGUUGUCCCAGGCCAGGGAUACACAUGCAUAUGUAUUUCAGCCUCCUCCCCACUUCAUGCCCCAAGAAAAGGCCCUUCUGUCUCAUGCUUGAUAUAAAAAGAUUGCAAGGUGUUAGAAGGCAAGUUAAUGGGUAACCCAGGGCAGAGAAAGAAACAGGGCAGAGGUUUGUCACUUCAAUGGUUAAAAUAUCUUGAUGUAAAAAUGAGCCCCUUAAAAUAGUCCGGGAGGGCCCAAAAAACCACCCGACGGGGCUUAUAAAUAGACGAGCGAGAUGUUGAAAUUAUUUUAAGACAGAUGCCUUUUAAAACUGUAUUCAGAACAUCUUUUGGGGCUCCUAGUUGCACAGUUCCUCAAGCAGGAGGUAUUUCAUCUUCGCAACAUCUGGAACUGUCAAAGAGGUAGCGCUGCAGACCUCAACAGAUGCAGACACUUCUACAUAAAAGUGCACCAACAAAUCAUGGCCAUAAUUGCAGAACAACACGAAUGUUUCACAGGCAGCUGUGGAGAAAACAAUGCUCUGGCAGGGAGGAAAACUUACUGUAACCCCCAAACCCCUCCACUUUUAUUGCUGAAUCACUCCUUUAAGCAACUUUUCCACAGUUCUCCACCAAGAGGCUAACAAUUGCAAGCAAGUUUAUUUUCUCAGCUUGUAAUCAGGAGAUGAUUGACAAGGAGGUCUUUUUUUCCCCUUUGGGGUAAAAAUUUUUUUAUCCCACAAAUCGGUAGCCUUGACUUGGUUGGGUAAAUUUGUGAUGUUGCUCAAAGUAAUCUCCAUGCUUGGUUUGGUUUUUCAGGUGAGGGGCAAGUGACAGCCCUUUGAUACAUGAAGGGGGCCAGUGUGUCCCCACAUUGCCUUCCUGUGAUGGGCAAAGCCACGUGGCAAAGUCAGACCUGGCUGGGAUGCCCUAUACAACCGGGACCCUGAGAACUCAGCCUUCCAUUAGAACUCAGAACAAAACUGAUAUUUUGAUUUGUCAUUUCAGAGGCAGAGGCUCAAAAAUACUUUAGAAACCUGUGGCCCGAUGCAUCGCUUGAAAUUUUUAUGCAGCUGAGGGCUGGAGUGCGGUGGGAGAAAUAAAAGUGGGAGGAACGCCACAAAGGACCAUGUUAGAACUUAACACAACUGUUCUAUAAAUUAUGGUGACAAAACAAAUACUGCUAAUACUGAUGAUAAUGAUAAAUGCUUUUAAUCAGUUUUACUAAAGCAUUUUAAAUCUUGUGGGACAGAUGGGAAAAUAAAACUUGCUGUUGGAACCUUGGGAUUUAUAAGAAACUCCUUGGUCAACAUUAUAAGGAGGACGGAAUCUUCCAAGGUGAAGAAGAGAAGCUGGUGUGAUAAAAUUUCUAUCAUCAUCACGUUUUCGCUUUGCUUUAAUGGCAAAUUAACACUCACCCUAGUUGUUAAACACAUCCUUUCAAUUAAUCUCCCAGCCGGUGAAGUGCUGCUCCCUGGAUCUUGAGCAAUGUGGGUUGCCUGACCCACGUCAGGGCCAAGGAAACUGGCGGGCAUGGUCAGGGGUGGAAGCGGGUGACAGUUAUUUCAGGGGUCAAGUGUUUAAACAUCUGGUGCCUCCCUGAAGCCAGCUUUGGCUCGGACACCUCUGCUCAGGCAGGAGAAGCAGGGAGUCGGGGCUGCGGAUCUUUGCCUCUGAGCCCUCUGUUUUCCCUCUGCUUCCUGGGGAAGAAUGCCCGAAUGAGAACACGCAACCGCACAACUUCUACCACCCUGUGGUAACUUUAUGCCAUGACAUACACUCCCUCUACUGGGACGUUCCUUCCAUCCUUGUGAGAAACACCCCCACGACUCCUGGUUGCCCCCUUUAAUCCCUCAGUUCCAGGGGCAUCUUUGGAAGAGCUUUGAAGGCCAACUCAAAUGUGUAUUCUCAGGUUUUGAAAGAUCUCAGAAUCACCAGUGCUGGGACUCUUGUAUUCACUGGGGGUGAACAAUGAUGAACAUAUUGAGUGGUAGAGUAAUAACCACAAGACAAAACCAGCACAGUCUUCAGCCACAGCCAAUGGUGAUGCCGCAAGUCCAACUCUCGUAAGAGGUGGGGGGGCUCAGAAAGGGAAGUGGCCUGUCCACCGAAGCUGACAAAAACAUUUGCAGUGUUUGCAUUUUCUCCCAGCCUCUACAUCUCCCAAAUGGUUCCUUUUCCACAGCAUGCCCCCACCCCCAAUUUUAUACAUAGCAGAUGGCCUUCAAACAAAUCAAGGAGCAGAAGCUGCAAAAGGCUUAAAAAAAAAAAGACAGUGAAACUCAUAUAUUUCUUCAAAAGAUAAGAUGAACUACAGAUGUUUGCUGAAGGGUGAUGGUGCUGCCUACAACUUAAGACUCGACUUAAGAGUCCACUUAUGUUUAGCGUUGGACAAGCCCAGUAGAUGUCAUGGUGUGAUUUAUGGAGGUUGUUUGUGAGAUUUUAUGUUACUGGGGACAUGGCAAUGAAAACACUCUGCCAUUCUGCCUGCAAGCAUCUUUCUCUGUGGACCCAGGUGGGGAGUCCAUGAUGGAAACCGUGUGCCAGCCAGCAGCCAGGCAUGUAUCCUUGCCAUCCACAGCUCAGCCCACGUGUCCUUGAUCGCCCUGCAUUCUGACCAAUAUGCCCCUUCGCUCCUGGGCCACUUUCUCUCCUCUUUUAUGGAGUUCUUGGUCCUUGCCAAUGUCCUAUUCUUACCUGACACCUGCAGUCAGAUUAGUCUCAAAUCAAGCUUGACAAAGUUGCUAAAAGAGAAACAGUUGUCUCUUGCAGGAUCCAGCUGUAUAUAGAAAACAGCUGCUUGCUAGGCACGUUUUUUGAAAAGGAAGAGAAGAAUCACUGCAAAGGGCUUAAAAAUGAACAUAAAGCAUAUCUUGAAUAAGACAACAGAGGCCUGUAAUUAACGCAAGGGUUAAGUAUCUGUGUUUCUAUUAAAUGCUUCUUUUUCAGGACUUGUUGUAACUUGGUCAUAAAUAUUUAUUACAAACUGAAACUGAGGAUAUAAGACCUUAGCUGAAUGCUGUUUCCCCCUCUCACUUCUUUGCUUUCCAAAGCUAAUUCUUAACAAUGCAAAGAGUGUGAUGUGUUUUGGACACACACACCUACUCCAAAAUGCAAGCCAAUGUAUGCAUCUGUGCAGAGGCAGACACCUACGCCCAUCAGCACAGCACAUGUGCACACCGCCCUUCCCUAGACGCUCAAGUGGUGAGUAUAAGGCAGAGGCUGCUGAGUCUUGGGCAGAAGCAGCAGGAGGAGGCCCCAGCCAUCCCCUGGCCUCUGGAGCAGAAACAUGGGGAGCCUUUGAAGUUGCCACAACUCAGGUGGAAGCCCCUCAGAGCAGCCCUAAGAGGAAGUCAUUCAUUUUCAAACAAAGGGGAAAAUUCCUCAGGACCCUGGUGUUUCCACUAAAACAAUCCUCUGAAAAGUUAUUCCCCAGAGGAGCAAGGACCAGCUGUGCUCCAUCUCCACGAGGUUGUGAAGAGAGAAAAUGGGCCGCCUGCACUACAGCAUGAGAGCCAUCAGUUAGACAAAAAGAAGCAUGGUGAGACAGGCAAGGCCCUCCAGAGAAAGCCAGGAAGACAGUGAGUGGCUUUCAAAACCGAUGUGGUGCAUUCAGAGGCUGGAAGAUGGACAAUAUUACUUUCCCAGAAAGUUUCGCAAAACUUUCUCUUUUGUUGGCAUGUUGAAAAUAGCAAGCCAUUGCCUCUUCCCCCGGCCGCUGGGUCUGCUGGCAAGCAUGUUAAUUUCCAGAACUCACAGAAUUAAAGCCAGAGAGGAUCCUUGUAACUCAUCUUCUCUCCCUCCCCAGCUUCCCACAGAACCAUACCCAAAAGCUUCCGUGGACACAAGAAUCUUGCUUAUUUUUAAAUAGUUUGAAUUACCUGGUAGUGGAUUUUGUUUUUUUUUAGCUUCUCUAUCCCUUUUUAAUUUAAAUUAAUUUUAUUAUUAUUAUUUUUGAGAUGGAGUCUUGCUGUGUUGCCAGGCUAGAGUGCAGUGGCAUGAUCUCUGCUCACUGCAACCUCCAACUCCCUGGUUCAAGUGAGUCUCCUGCCUCAGCCUCCCGAGUAGCUGGGAUUACAGGCACGUGCCACCACGCCCAGCUAAUUUUUGUAUUUUUAGUAGUGACGGAGUUUCACCAUGUUGGCUAGGAUGGUCUUGAUCUCCUGACCUCGUGAUCCGCCCGCUUCGGCCUCCCAAAGUGCUGGGAUUACAGACGUGAGCCACGGCGCCCAGCCUCUAUACCUUGAAAAAAAAAAAAGGUCUGUGAAUACACAGUAGGUGUAUGUAAUUAUGGGGUACAUGAGGUAUUUUGAUACGGGCAUACAAUGCAUAAUAAUCACAUCAGGGUAAAUGGGGUAUCCAUCAGCUCAAGCAUUUGUAAUUUCAUUGUGUGACAAACAUUCCAAUUAUACCUUUUCAUUAUUUAAAAAUGUACAAUAAAUUAUUGUUGACUGUAAUUACCCUGUUGUGCUAUCAAAUACUGGAUCUUAUUCAUUCUAUCUAAUUAUAUUUUUGUACACAUUAACCAUGUCUACUUCCCCCUGACUUUCCACUUCCAACUCCCCUCCCCAGCUUCUGGUAACCAUCAUUCUACUCUCUAUCUCCAUGAGUUCAAUUGUUUUAAUUUUUAGCUCCCACAAGUGAAUGAGAACAAGUGAAGUUUAUCUUUCUGUCCCUUGCUUAUUUCACUUAACAUAAUGUCCUGUAGUUCCAUCCAUGUUGUUAUUAUUAUUUUUAUGCCAGUAUCAUGCUGCUUUGGUUACUAUGACUCUGUAGUGUAACUUGAGGUCAGGUAGUUUGAUCUCUCCAGUUUAGUCCUUUUUGCUCAGGAUGGCUUUGGCUAUUCUUAGUCUUUUGUAGUUUCAUAUAAAUUUUAGGAUUGCUCUAUUUUUUUUUUCUUUGAAGAAUGUCACUUGUAUUUUGAGAGGGAUUGCAUGGAAUCUGUAGGUUGCUUUCAGUAGCAUAAACAUUUUAGCAAUAUUGCUUCUUCCAAUCCAUGAACAUCUUUCCAUCUUUUUGGUGUCCUCUUCAAUUUCUUGCAUCAAUUUUUCAUAGUUUUCAUUGUAGGGAUCUUUCACUUAUUUGGUUAAUUCCUAGGUGUUUUAUUUUAUUUGUAGCUAUUGUAAAUUAUAUUACUUUCUUGAUUUCUUUUUCAGAUUGUUAACUGUUGGCAUAUAGUAAUGAUACUGAUUUUUGUACGUUGAUUUUAUAUCUUGCAACUUUACUGAAUUUAUCAGUUCUAAUAGUUUUUUUGGUGGAGUUUUUAGGUUUUUCCAAAUAUAAGAUGAUACAUCGUCUAUAAACAAGGAUAAUUUGACUUAUUCCUUCCUAACGUGGAUGCCCUUUUUUUCUUUCCAUUUUCUGAUUGCUCUAGCAAUCAGAUUGCUCUCCCAGUACUAUGUUGAAUAGCAGUGGUGAAAGUAAGCAUCCUUGUCUUGUUCCAGAUCUUAGCGGAAAGGCAUUAAUUUUUUCCCAUUCAGUAUGAUACUAAUUGUGGAUCUGUCAUAUGUGGCUUUUAUUGCAUUGAGGUGUGUUUCCUCUACACCAAGUUUUUUGAGGGUUUUUAUCAUGAGGGGAUGUUGAACUUUAUCAAAUACUUUUUCAGCAUCAAUUGAAAUGAUUGUAUGAUUUUUGUCCUUCAUUCCGUUGAUAGGAUGGAGCAUAUCAAUUGAUUUGUGUAUGUUGAACCAUCCUUGCUUCCCUGGGAUAAAUCCUAUUUAGUCAUGAUGAAUAAUCUUUUUAAUGUGUUGAUGAAUUCAGUUUGCUAGUAUUUUGUUGAGAAUUUUUGCAUCAAUGUUUAUCAGGGAUAUUGACCCGUAGUUUUCUUUUUUUGAUGUGUGUUUUUCUGGUUUUGGUAUCAGGGUAAUAUUGGCCUCAUAGAAUCAGUUUGGAAUUAUUUCCCCCUGCUCCAUUUUUCAGAAUAGUUUGAGAAGAAUUGGUAUUAGUUCUUUAAAUGUUUGGUAAAAUUCAGCAGCGAGGCUAUUGAGUACCAGGCUUUUCUUUGCCGAGAGAUUUUUUUGUUAUGGCUUCAGUCUCAUUACAUGUGAUUGGUCUCUUCAGGUUUUGGAUUUCUUCAUGGUUCAAUCUUGGUAGGCUGUAUGUAUUUGACUUCUCUAUCUCUUAAUCUCUUUCCUUUGUGUGAGAGUUCCCCAUCCUGUAAAUCAGAGUUGGAAGUAGAAAAUUCCUCUCGUGGCUGAGGCUGAAAAGUCCAGUUCUUGCCUUUCCACCAUCCAUCCUCUCUGUGCGGGCUGGACCACUGAGCCCUCAUGCCGUAGACAAAGCUUGUCUCCACUUUAUUCUGGUGUCAGGCCUGUGGAAGGAGAGUUCGGGUGAAGGAUGUGUAUUGUGCAGUUUGCUCCAAUCACACGAUUUGGGGAGGUGAUGAUAGGACAGAUAAUACCAGAGUGUCAAUGUGUUCUGUUGCAUUAAUAUUGGGUUCAGGUUUGUGGGUGGGUGGAUGCUGAGUAGUUUUCCCAAUAAUGAACUUGUAGACAGACCAGAUAAUAAAGGCCUGAGCAAAGCCAGCAAUAUUUUGUCUUGUGACACAAAAUUGUUGGCUUUACAGUCAGAGGUAGGAUUGGAUCCUGGCUGAGUAAUCUUGGGCAAGAUUCUCAUCUUCUCUAAGCUUCAGUUUCCUCAUCUUCAAAUGAAGACUGUGAGACCUCGCAGGAUCAUUGUGAGGAUCAAAUGAGGAGGGAGAGAGAGUGCACAGGCACGGUGCAUGGCACAUAAUUGGUCCUCAAUAAAUAUGAUUAUAAAUGUCCUGCAAUCUAGAAGGAAAUCCAUAGGAAGGAAAAGAUGUGGACUAAGGUUUGUAAGGAACAUGUGAGUAUAUUGGAGUGCUGCACCAUAGCAAUGACAACAGAUCCUCAAAUGGCAAAUGUAUGUAUCUCAAAGAGCAUAUUUCUUCCCAGUUAUCUCAUUCAUAGAACCUAAUGCUGGAUCUUGGGUAACAGGGGUGUGCUUGUUAUUCUUCAUUUGUGUAUCCACCACUAGAUCCAUCCCCUGCCCUUUUCUGCCCAUUAUCCCAGGGGCACAAUGUAUGCUAACAUGUAUACACUGCCUCUCCCUGCUUUCUUGCUCUCUUGCUUCUGUCUGGGUUUGGCCAAUUCCAGCCUGGAUCCAGCUCUCAUCAGGUUCUAAGAAUACUAUGCCCUUCAGGCCAAGAAUGGCUAUAGCUUCCUGCCAUUGCUAAUCCCUGGGGCCUCAAUUUCCUGUGGUGGUUCCUUUAGCCCUAGCCACACUUCUGUGAAUUGUCUCUUUAUUAAAGUCUCUUUGGAAUCCCA